GGCGGUCUACCCGGGGCCAGGCGGGAGCUGCUUUACGGCAGGGGCGGGCGGGGGGCGCAGUUGAGUCCCACCGGCUCCCGCGCGAGGAUCGGAGCGGCCCGGGUCUCCCCUCGCGGCGCGCGGCCGCAGCCAGAGGAGGCAGAGCGCGGAAGGAAAGGUGGAGAAGGGACAUCAUCGGGGACGUCGGUCCAUCUCUAGGCGCUGGUGUUCUGGAGGAGGCAGAGCGCGGAAGGAAAGGUGGAGAAGGGACAUCAUCGGGGACGUCGGUCCAUCUCUAGGCGCUGGUGUUCUGGAUACAGGACCUUGGUGAGGGCCAUUAGUUCAGCGGACCCUUCUGGGAAGCUCUCCACGGGAGUGUGUUCCGUACUCUACCCUCAAACCCCGGACUCGUUCGCACCUAUGUACUUACGUAUUUACGUACGUAAGGGUGCGCGUGUGUCGUAAGGAGAGGAGGCAGAGCGCGGAAGGAAAGGUGGAGAAGGGACAUCAUCGGGGACGUCGGUCCAUCUCUAGGCGCUGGUGUUCUGGAGGAGGCAGAGCGCGGAAGGAAAGGUGGAGAAGGGACAUCAUCGGGGACGUCGGUCCAUCUCUAGGCGCUGGUGUUCUGGAGGAGGCAGAGCGCGGAAGGAAAGGUGGAGAAGGGACAUCAUCGGGGACGUCGGUCCAUCUCUAGGCGCUGGUGUUCUGGAGGAGGCAGAGCGCGGAAGGAAAGGUGGAGAAGGGACAUCAUCGGGGACGUCGGUCCAUCUCUAGGCGCUGGUGUUCUGGAGGAGGCAGAGCGCGGAAGGAAAGGUGGAGAAGGGACAUCAUCGGGGACGUCGGUCCAUCUCUAGGCGCUGGUGUUCUGGAGGAGGCAGAGCGCGGAAGGAAAGGUGGAGAAGGGACAUCAUCGGGGACGUCGGUCCAUCUCUAGGCGCUGGUGUUCUGGAGGAGGCAGAGCGCGGAAGGAAAGGUGGAGAAGGGACAUCAUCGGGGACGUCGGUCCAUCUCUAGGCGCUGGUGUUCUGGAGGAGGCAGAGCGCGGAAGGAAAGGUGGAGAAGGGACAUCAUCGGGGACGUCGGUCCAUCUCUAGGCGCUGGUGUUCUGGAGGAGGCAGAGCGCGGAAGGAAAGGUGGAGAAGGGACAUCAUCGGGGACGUCGGUCCAUCUCUAGGCGCUGGUGUUCUGGAGGAGGCAGAGCGCGGAAGGAAAGGUGGAGAAGGGACAUCAUCGGGGACGUCGGUCCAUCUCUAGGCGCUGGUGUUCUGGAGGAGGCAGAGCGCGGAAGGAAAGGUGGAGAAGGGACAUCAUCGGGGACGUCGGUCCAUCUCUAGGCGCUGGUGUUCUGGAGGAGGCAGAGCGCGGAAGGAAAGGUGGAGAAGGGACAUCAUCGGGGACGUCGGUCCAUCUCUAGGCGCUGGUGUUCUGGAGGAGGCAGAGCGCGGAAGGAAAGGUGGAGAAGGGACAUCAUCGGGGACGUCGGUCCAUCUCUAGGCGCUGGUGUUCUGGGUCACAGUUUUGUAAGAAAAUCAAAGGGCAUGAUCAACAGCUUGUGCACUGCCUUGGUGUGGAACCAGAGUUCAAGCACAGACAAAAAUCAGACACUGAUUUCCCACUUCUGAUAGAAAAAUGAAGAAUUCAGAACCCAACCGUAAACUCAAGACAAGCCGCAAAAAUAGGAAUAGAAACUCAAAGACCUUGGAACAGAAUUGCAGCAUGAAACCCAGGAGCAUGGACUCACAGGGGGCUCUUAAAUUCCAGGACCACCUCCACUGCAUCCACAGGCAGGUGAGGGGCCAUCCCCACCACCGUCUCUACCAGUGCCACCUCUACCCACAGGAAUUGCUCCUCCUCCUCCUCCAACUCCUUUAUCUCUACUAAAUGGUACACCAUACCCACCACCAUCACCUUUGUUUGGGCAUCUCCUGGUGUAACCUAAAACAUGAAGCAGAAAUAAAUGUAUAAAACUGACCUUCA